rnacentral:lncRNA from 1 species
AAUAGCCUUCUCAAUCCUUCCCACAAUCCUGUAAGGUUGAUACUAUUUUUAUUUUGUCUCCAUUUUCCAGAGGAAUAAACUGAGAUUCAGAGAAGUGAUUUACCCAAAAACUAAAACAGAAUUCAAACCCAGGUCCCUUCUGGACUGAUAUGGAUACUGUGUCAAAGGCACAAGGAAUGUUCAAAGGAUGA